UAAAUGAAAUUAAUAUGCUAAAUCUCAAGCUUAGCCUUUUGUUAACAAUACUGUCAUCUCAGAUUUUCAAAAAUAUGCUUCUCAAGCAUAGCAAACUAGCAUUUGUGUAACAGUACUGAUAACUAGCGUAGCAUUUAGCAUUAGCAUCAGCAGGAAACAUUUUCACAAAAACCAGCAAAAACAUUCAAAUAAAUCUUUCACAUUUGAAGAACUUCGGAUGUUUCAAAUGAGGAGACUCAGUUAGAUAGCAAUGUUCAGUUUUUCCUGAAAGAUUUUUUGUGCAGGAGAAAUCGGUCCGUUUGGUGGCGUCACGUUUGGCUACCAAAAAAAUAUGAAAAUUCAGUUAUCCAAAUGCCAAACUUUUUUCCAAAUUAACUCCAUAAUAUCGACUGAAACAUGGCAAACGUUGUUUAGAACCAAUCCUCAAGGUGUUUUUCACAUAUCUCUUCAAUGAUGCACACUUCCAGGAACGAUACUUCGCUGUCUGUAUCGCAUGGUAAUAGUUUUGCCGCUGAGAGUUACGCACCAACGUGGACAAAGGACACCGGACGGGACCCUGGCAAAUGUAGUCUCUUUAUGGCCAAUCUUCCAAUGAUAUGCCUACAAAUACGUCACAAUGCUGCAGACAUCUUGGAGGAACGGCAGAGCGCAUAAGCUCAUUCACAGCAUAUUCACAGCCGUAUAAGGAGCGAAUGGGAAACAGAGCCUCAAAAACCCUGCUCAUUUCCUGGUUGAAGUUGCAUCUUGGUUUCGCCUGUAAGAUCAGUUCCGGGGCACCCAAAGAUAAUAUCUUUGCAGCUUUGAAAACGUCAGAGUGUUUUCUUUCCAAAGCUGGCAAUUAUAUGCAUAGUCGAGCAUCUUUUAGUGACCAAAUAUUGCGCUUAAAACGGGCACGUUUUUUUAAUCCAAUAAUGAAAUAGCACCCCCCUAGCUUCAACUGGUUAAGAGGCCAACGUGCGGGCACCCUGACGAAACUACUACUAUUGUAUCAACGGGACCCGGAGAAAUAGAAUAUCCCAUGUUCCUCGGAGUCGCGGCUGAACAAGGACAAUAUACAUCUAGCUGUUUCUUAUACAUCUUCAAGACCGUAUGACAGCGUCAAGAAAGGGGGCAGGGGUGUGUCUUUGUUAACAACUGGUGCUCGAUCUCUAAUAUUAAAGGGAGGCUCAAUGUUCUACUCGCCUGAGAUCAAUACCUCAUGACAAGCUGUAGACCAUACUAUUAACCAAGAGAGUUUAUGUAUACUUUUCUUAGCAGUCUAUUUAAAAAUCAGUCAGAGUCCACAACAAUGGGAUCACAGCACCAUCAAAUGUAGCUUAGCCCAGAUAACACACUGUGUUCCAAAUGCAAAUUCCUUAUAAUAGUGCACUACUUUUGGACCAGGAACCAUAGGGUAAAAAAAGUAGUACACUAUAUAGGGAAAAUGGCACCAUUUGGGAUGCUUCCCAUAUCAGAUUCGCUGCCAAAGGAUCACACUUAAGCCCAGAUAUCCACCAUCUAUCUCACUGUCCUUUAUCAGAAGCUCAAUCAAAUCACAGAACACAGAUGAGUUGGGUUGAGAUUGCAUCACCUGUGUGUGGGUCCAAAACCAAAAGAUGAGAUUCCUUUCAUUUCUAUUGUCCCAGACCACUGCUCUGCUAGGCUUUAGACCCACAAUCAUGCAAGUGCCAGAUAACCAUGAUGACCUUUUACCUCGCCCUUGUUUUAAGUCACCUUUUUUCCUCUGUCUGUCUGUGUAUUUCAAAUGCAUGUAGUUACUACAGCAUACUUGCUGUAUGAUGCCGACCUAGUGAGUGAUUGGCGGGGAUGACAGUAAAAUCCAUCAUACAACAAUAGAUAUGUGCUGGUCAGGUUAGAGGUCGAAAGAGUUCCCAUGGGGAUUAUGACAAACCUAUUUGUAGUAGAUACAAAAACAAAAAUGGAUUCUCUCUCUCUCUCUCGCUUAAUGCUUCCAGUGUGUUCUCGUCUAGCAGGAAAUCACAUGCUAUUUGUCAUUCACCAUGUUUUACUGCAAAUCCAUUUAUCGGCCCAAUAAUAAAUAUCGGGCUACGGGGGCUGCUGUAAACAUGUUUAAGUAUGUAGCUAGCUAUGUAGCUAAAUAGGUUGUGUUUCAUGAACGUUACAGGGCCAAGCCCAUUUCUAGAGCUAGCUAGGGGAGGGGGAUUUCAGAGUGUACUCUCCCUCAGCAACGCACAGCCUUGAGCUCUGUACCCUUUAUAUGGCUGAGAGUUGAAAUCCAGUCGUGGGACUUUGAAAUGGGCACCUGGCUCUCACGCCAGGGAGGCAGCCCAGUUCCAAUACGAAUGCAAUCCAUUUUCACCCGGUGCAAAACACGUCUACCCGGACCAGGUUAAUCGAAUCCCCUCACUGUCAAAGCGACUGCAGGGAUAGCUAGAGAGGCGUGGCUACUUCCAUUCCAUGUCAAGCUACACAAGUGUCUUCACUCACACCAACCAACCAUGGCUCUCAAUCUGACCUGAAUAAUGUGUUUGGGAAAUAUGGCAUGUGUUGAUGCAAGGAUAUGAAGACCCCCACAUUCCCUGGCUGGACUAGUACAGACCCAAGACAGAUGAUAGCAGAAAGCAAUUUACAUUUUGUAACAGAGGUAAAAUAUUAUCAGAGAAAGGAAAAGUAUACAGCAACCCAAACCACUUCCUUAUACCUUGACUACAGACACAAUACCAUUUGUGAGAGAGGUUAGAGAGGCUUAGAUAGGCUAUAUGGCAAACCCAUUCCCUGAGGAGUCCUUAGCCCAAGCACUUCACUAUUACCAAUCAAGUAGCUAUAGGAAAUUCUCAUUCUAUAAUCCUCUCGCCAUAAUUCUAAUGAAUUGCUCCAGAUUUUAGGUUGAGCCACUCGACUCCAAGUCCAGUCCUUUCCUAUUAGUAUCUGGGCCAGUAUUCAGAGUAGAAGUGCUGAUCUAGGAUCAGGUCCCUCCCUGUCUAAAUAAUCAUAUUCAUUAUGAUAUGAAAGGCAAAACUGAUCAGCACUGCACUUCUACUCUGAGACUCUUUGUGAGUAUAGGCCUGGAAGAAAACCAAGUGAUUAAGAUCAUUAAAAUAAAAAAAUCCCAGGCCUCCUGAGUCUUUGGCUACAUCCCAAAUGGCACCCUAUUCCCUACAAAGUAGGGGCCCUGGUCAAAGUAGUGCACUACAUAGGGAAUAGGGUCUAUGGGCCUUGGUCAAAAGUAGUGCACUACAUAGGGAAUACGGUGCCAUUUAGGAUGUACACUUUGCUUCUAUAGAGGUCACAGUUCAUGUUACCCUUUUGUGAUUUUGCUGGUGUUUUCCUGGGGGGGAGGAGCCUGUCUUUCUUUGUUGAACUGGACUUGCCAGGCGAGGUCUUCCUAUAUGAAACCCACUCCGAGGGGGGCUGAAACCACGGUUGUCAAGUACUGGUUGUACAAGAGCAGAACAGAGCAGAGUAGGGGUGUAUUCAUUAGGCACCCAACGGAAGAAAAGGUACUGAAUCACAGAGGGAUGGAGGGGCUACCUGAACUUACCUAAUAAAAAACACUCAUUUUG